UAUCAGUCAUGCAUAGCAUAUCAAUAAGCGGAGGAAAAGAAACUAACAAGGAUUCCCCUAGUAACGGCGAGUGAAGCGGGAAGAGCUCAAAUUUGAAAUCUUAAAGGGUUUCCCUUUACGAAUUGUAGUUUAAAGAAGUGUUUUCUGUUGAGGUUUUGGUAAAAGUUCUUUGGAAUAGGACAUCAUAGAGGGUGAGAAUCCCGUAUUUGACCUUUACUUUCAACUUUGUGAUACACUUUCAAAGAGUCGGAUUGUUUGGGAAUGCAGUCCAAAAUGGGUGGUAAAUUUCAUCUAAAGCUAAAUAUUGGCGAGAGACCGAUAGCGAACAAGUACCGUGAGGGAAAGAUGAAAAGAACUUUGAAAAAGAGAGUUAAACAGUACGUGAAAUUGUCAAAAGGGAAGCGUUUGACACCAGUGUUGUUUUUCUGAAAAUCAAUUAAAGAACUGUUUAUGCUAAGUUGUUUAGGACUUUAUCAGCUAUCUGUUUAGUUCUUGAGCUUUUCUUUAAUGCACUUUUCAGUUAACAAGUCAACAUCAAUUUCUUUUGCUGUAAAAAAGCUUGAGGAAGGUGGCUUGAGAUUCGUCUUAAGUGUUUAUAGCCUCUUGCCUAUGCAGUCGGAGAGAUUGAGGUCUGCAGCGUAGAUCCUUCGGGGCUAAAUGCAUUUGUGCUAAGUUAUAGCAUUUUAUAGACAACUUGUUGACUAUGAUUUGUCUUGUAGCUUACUCGCUUAUGUUAUUUUACCUACGCUUAGGAUGUUGAAGAUGUAGCACAUCAU
rnacentral:rRNA from 1 species